rnacentral:rRNA from 1 species
GACGUAGGUCGCGAGCGUUGUCCGGAUUUAUUGGGCGUAAAGAGCUCGUAGGCGGCUUGUCGCGUCGACUGUGAAAACCCGCGGCUCAACUGCGGGCCUGCAGCCGAUACGGGCAGGCUAGAGUUCGGUAGGGGAGACUGGAAUUCCUGGUGUAGCGGUGAAAUGCGCAGAUAUCAGGAGGAACACCCGUGGCGAAGGCGGCUCUCUGGGACGGUACUGACGCUGAGACGCGAAAGCGUGGGGAGCGAACAGG